UAUGAUGUGGGGAUAACGAGCCGCCAGUGUGUGUCCGUGCUAUUUGCGACCGACCAUUGAUGCCUCCUAAUUCUGGACGAAUGGAAUGUACAGAUGAAAACAGAGAAUUCUCAGUUUGUAGAUUCACAUGUAAACCCGGUUAUACGUUGCACGGUAAUUCAACAGUGACUUGUCAAAGAAAUUUGAAAUGGAGUUCUCAGCGGCCCUGCUGCCGAGAUGAUUGUCCACCAUACGCAAGAAUGAAUUUAAUUAUGGUAUUGGAUAGUUCAAGGAGUAUAAAUGCGGAGAAUUUUGAAUUAAUCAAAACAUUUGCAAAAAAGACUCCACAGAAGAUUUGAAGUUUCCGAAGAUUUUACUCACGUAUCAGUCAUAUCAUACAGCAGCAGAGUUGAAUUACUGAACAACAAAACUGUUUUUAAAUCAAGCGAUGAACUCGAUUCAGCUUUAGAUAAUCUUGCGUACGAGGGAGCCGGAACUCUGAUAGGUAGAGCAAUAACCUACGUCACAGACAACUUGGCAGGCAAAAGACCAGGCAGUGGAGAUAUUGUUGUCGUACUCACAGAUGGUAUUUCACAUGAUGACGUUUAUUUUCCUUCUAAAACUCUCCAAGAGACAGGAGCUCAUAUCAUAGCUGUUGGUGUUCGACAUGCAUGGAGAUACCAAUUACAAAUGAUUGCGUCAGAGCCUACUGACGUCAACGUCGUUGAAGUUGAAACAUAUAAUGACCUAAAUCAUAUUGUUAACGUAAUAGGCGAAAAAGUUUGCCAUUUAUCAUGCUGAUUAUCAUAUUUUAGUAAGUUUGCGAUAACUUCAUAAAAUUCAAGACAGAUUAGACUUACCUCCUUUCUAUUAUCCUAGCGAGAACGUAAAUUCCAGCGCCAAAAGGUAUUGUGACGUAAUAUUUCCAUUUUUGAUGUUACAUUUUUGGAUUAAAAACUCGUUUUGUCACGCUGGACUGCGAAACACCAAUAAUCUAAGUACAAUACGUACUUAAUUUUACAGGAGCUCUGUUACCAGCAUUUUGACGGUCAUAUCUGAGAAAUUGGUGGACUUAUUUCAGAAAAUGUAAAUUUUACUAAAAUGCCCAAAACUGAAAAGUGGCAAAUGCAUAAUGACAAAUUUGAAAAUUAGGAAAUGCUUACACUUUUAUCCCUUAUUUGCAACGUAUCAAAAUGAACUGUUCCAAGCUUUACGAAAAUUAUUGUAAUAUUCUUUUAAUUUUCUUGUAAAAAGUUAUAUUUCUAUACUUCUUUUAUAUUUUAUAUAAUUUAUUUCGAACAUUCCCAUUUUAUCAGUACAUUACUGACAUUGUGUAUACUGCCGCCAUUAUUUUUCUUAUUUCAAAGACAUUCUCGCUUACGCCCAAAAUAUCGCCAUUAACCUUGGCUGAGAAAUGCUGGCGCUCCAGUAGUGUGUGUACCAAUAUGGAGGUAACUAAUUUUCUUUGCAAACUUUACAUCAAGUUGUGUAAACUUGAAACCUAUGGACAGGGGGUAUAUUCACUUGGCUAACACAAAAAGUCCCCGAACUCGUAAUAGAACUAAAAUACGCAAAAUCAGAAUACAAUUAUGGCCUAACCCUAAUCUGGUACACACACUACGAAGUACCGAAAUAUUUGCUGUUUUUACUUUAGAUCUAUUUUCCCCUUUAUGAGGAUUAUUUGCCAUUGGUUCAAGUAAUAUGGUCGAUUUUUCAAAUUUUACUUUUAUUGAAAUCAUAUUUUUUCGCCUCAAACAAGCACCGUAUUGUUUCUUUCUCGUUUUUAAUACAAUAAAAAUCUUCCGAUA